rnacentral:rRNA from 1 species
CACGUAGGGUGCGAGCGUUGUCCGGAAUUAUUGGGCGUAAAGAGCUCGUAGGCGGUGUGUCGCGUCGGCCGUGAAAACCUGUGGCUUAACCAUGGGCUUGCGGUCGAUACGGGCAUCACUGGAGUUCGGCAGGGGAGACUGGAAUUCCUGGUGUAGCGGUGAAAUGCGCAGAUAUCAGGAGGAACACCGGUGGCGAAGGCGGGUCUCUGGACCGACACUGACGCUGAGGCGCGAAAGCGUGGGGAGCAAACAGG